rnacentral:rRNA from 1 species
GAUUGAAGUCAGUCGUACCAGCGGAUAAUCAGCCUUUAGAUGCGAUUUUGUGGAGCGUGAAGAGCUAAUCGCCUUCAUGCCUGUAUAUUCGUGUACUUGGGGUGUACUUAUUCGUGUGGUAAGUUAACAUCAAUUUUGGUUGUCGUAAAAUGAUUAGAGGAAUGUAGCUUCGAUCUCGUAUUGAAGUGUUAUAGCCUUUGGUAGAUGUGACGAUCGGGAUUGAGGAUUGCAACGGAUACCCUUCGGGGCUACCUGUCUGAUCUCUGAUUGUUGCUUUGGUGCUGAAAGCUUGCUUAUGGUUAUCAAAGUCGAU